UACGUAGGGUGCGAGCGUUAAUCGGAAUUACUGGGCGUAAAGGGCGCGUAGGCGGCAACUCAAGUCAGCUGUGAAAUCUCCGGGCUUAACUCGGAACGGUCAGCUGAUACUGUUUUGCUAGAGUGCAGAAGGGGCAAUCGGAAUUCUUGGUGUAGCGGUGAAAUGCGUAGAUAUCAAGAGGAACACCUGAGGUGAAGACGGGUUGCUGGGCUGACACUGACGCUGAUGCGCGAAAGCCAGGGGAGCGAACGGG
rnacentral:rRNA from 1 species